rnacentral:lncRNA from 1 species
UGGGAUUCGUGAUGAGUAAUAUUGUGUAAACACGAACUAUAUAUAAUUAACUGGAUUAAAUUAAUAUAUUUUGAGACUAAGUGUUGUGAUGCAGUGUUUAAGGUGGUACCUAACACUACAGGGAGAUAACUCUGUAAAAUCAGCUAAACGUUUUAAUUACGUUGUGUUGUAAAAGGAAUAUUAAGCUUCUCAGUGAUCAAAAUAAGUGUUUGUCAAACUACUAUAUAACCAGUAUAAUUUUUCUGAUAAAACGGUUGGUUCAAAAUUUUUGAAAUUUAUGUAUUUUUGUUAAAGGGUCAAAGUAAAUACUUUGUCAAAAUUUUAUGAAAAUUAAACGAGCCAAAUUAAUUUUAGUUUGAGUGUUGGGUACCACCUUAAGACAUCUUCAACUUUUAUUAAAACAAGCAGUCAAUUUAUGAAUGAAUAUUGUUUUUAUAUUUGUUCUAUAACGCAAUACAUGUCUUUGGUUUAAUCGAGUGAUAAUGAUAUUUAUAUUCAGUAUUACCAUCUGAAAUAUGAAGUGUUCCAGGCUGGUUUUGAAUUUAUCAACUAUGACGAUUUUGUCUGUUAUGGAGCUACAUCCUGGAUUUUGGUAGGAUUCGUUUUUCUCAUUCUCAAAUGAUUUGGUAAAAUAUGUCAUGAACUGGUUUGUUUCCCUUAUUAUUUGUCUUUAUUCCCUUUUGGUCCUAGUUUUUGAAUACUAUGAAUUAUACAUUAAACACUGCUUGAUUGAUUGUAAACUAUUUUAAUAUAUAAUAGAAAUUAAAUACGACUGUGUACCAUGUCCAUGUAAUUUAAAGUUAAGUACUUUAAUUUUACGUAUGGUAGACAUACUUGUACUUGCUGUGCGUGUGUCACCUUUCGAAACAGUAACAUUGCAAAAUCCUGAAAGGAAAUCAAUGUUUAUCAAUAAAUCCCGUAGUGAAAGUGGAAGGAUUGUAAUCGCGUGGCGCUAGACAAAUUCGAGUCAAAUGGAGUACAAAAGUACAUUAAUUUGAGAUACAGCAUUUUAAUUUAACGAUAACAAAUGUUAACCUUUAUUUUCGGAAAAUGCCUGUUAAGUCAGAAAUAUGACAGUUGUUUUGUACCUGUUCUGUUAGUUUUGUCCUUUUCGUG